rnacentral:rRNA from 1 species
AUUGAACGCUGGCAGCAGGCCUAACACAUGCAAGUCGAGCGGAUGAUGGGAGCUUGCUCUCUGAUUUAGCGGCGGACGGGUGAGUAAUGCCUAGGAAUCUGCCUGGUAGUGGGGGAUAACGUUCCGAAAGGAACGCUAAUACCGCAUACGUCCUACGGGAGAAAGCGGGGGGUCUUCGGACCUCGCGCUAUCAGAUGAGCCUAGCUCGGAUUAGCUAGUUGGUGAGGUAAAGGCUCACCAAGGUGACGAUCCGUAACUGGUCUGAGAGGAUGAUCAGUCACACUGGAACUGAGACACGGUCCAGACUCCUACGGGAGGCAGCAGUGGGGAAUAUUGGACAAUGGGCGAAAGCCUGAUCCAGCCAUGCCGCGUGUGUGAAGAAGGUCUUCGGAUUGUAAAGCACUUUAAGUUGGGAGGAAGGGUUGUAGAUUAAUACUCUGCAAUUUUGACGUUACCGACAGAAUAAGCACCGGCUAACUUCGUGCCAGCAGCCGCCGUAAGAC